CUACGGGCUGCUGCAGUGGGGGAUAUUGCACAAUGGAGGAAACUCUGAUGCAGCGAUGCCGCGUGGAGGAAGAAGGUUUUCGGAUUGUAAACUCCUGUCUUGAGGGACGAUAAUGACGGUACCUCAAAAGAAAGCUCCGGCUAACUACGUGCCAGCAGCCGCGGUAAUACGUAGGGAGCGAGCGUUGUCCGGAAUUACUGGGUGUAAAGGGAGCGUAGGCGGGAUGGUAAGUCAGAUGUGAAAAUUAUGGGCUCAACCCAUAAACUGCAUUUGAAACUGCUGUUCUUGAGUGAAGUAGAGGUAAGCGGAAUUCCUAGUGUAGCGGUGAAAUGCGUAGAUAUUAGGAGGAACACCGGUGGCGAAGGCGGCUUACUGGGCUUUUACUGACGCUGAGGCUCGAAAGCGUGGGGAGCAAACAGGAUUAGAUACCCCAGUAGUC
rnacentral:rRNA from 1 species